rnacentral:rRNA from 1 species
AUACGGAGGGAGCUAGCGUUGUUCGGAAUUACUGGGCGUAAAGCGCACGUAGGCGGCUUUGCAAGUUAGAGGUGAAAGCCCAGGGCUCAACCCUGGAAUUGCCUUUAAAACUGCAUCGCUAGAAUUGUGGAGAGGUAAGUGGAAUUCCGAGUGUAGAGGUGAAAUUCGUAGAUAUCCGGAAGAACACCAGUGGCGAAGGCGACUUACUGGACACAUAUUGACGCUGAGGUGCGAAAGCGUGGGGAGCAAACAGG